GUGUCAGCAGCCGCGGUAAUACGUAGGGUGCGAGCGUUGUCCGGAAUUAUUGGGCGUAAAGGGCUCGUAGGCGGUUUGUCGCGUCGGGAGUGAAAACACUGGGCUUAACUCAGUGCUUGCUUCCGAUACGGGCAGACUAGAGGUAUUCAGGGGAGAACGGAAUUCCUGGUGUAGCGGUGAAAUGCGCAGAUAUCAGGAGGAACACCGGUGGCGAAGGCGGUUCUCUGGGAAUGUCCUGACGCUGAGGAGCGAAAGUGUGGGGAGCGAACAGGAUUAGAAACCCGGGUAGUCC
rnacentral:rRNA from 1 species